rnacentral:rRNA from 1 species
UGGGGAAUAUUGCACAAUGGGCGAAAGCCUGAUGCAGCAACGCCGCGUGAGUGAUGAAGGUCUUCGGAUUGUAAAGCUCUGUCUUUUGGGACGAUAAUGACGGUACCAAAGGAGGAAGCCACGGCUAACUACGUGCCAGCAGCCGCGGUAAUACGUAGGUGGCGAGCGUUGUCCGGAUUUACUGGGCGUAAAGGGUGCGUAGGCGGAUGUUUAAGUGAGAUGUGAAAUACCCGGGCUUAACUUGGGUGCUGCAUUUCAAACUGGAUAUCUAGAGUGCAGGAGAGGAGAAUGGAAUUCCUAGUGUAGCGGUGAAAUGCGUAGAGAUUAGGAAGAACACCAGUGGCGAAGGCGAUUCUCUGGACUGUAACUGACGCUGAGGCACGAAAAGCGUGGGUAGCAAACAGGAUUAGAUACCCUGGUAGUCCACGCCGUAAAACGAUGAGUACUAGGUGUAGGAGGUAUCGACCCCUUCUGUGCCGCAGUAAACACAUUAAGUACUCCGCCUGGGAAGUACGAUCGCAAGAUUAAAAAC